rnacentral:lncRNA from 1 species
GUAGUUUAAUCGGACUUAACAAUGUUAUCCUAUUCCAUAACUCACAUGCAAAGGGCAAAGAACACAGCAUUUUAUUGACAGUUCUUGGAAGUUUAUGCUUUCAAAAUGUAGUUUUCGACAGCUGGGUUUGGCUCAGUUGCCAACACUGAGAAGAACACUAGAGACCACAAGUGGCUUGAAACGGCUGAGGAGUCUUGUGGAUAAAGGACGAUUGCCUGACAAAGACAUGAAGUUCAGAAAGCUAAAAAUUUUUUGGGAGAGUACCCUCCUUCUGAAUCAUAAUAACAAUAAAAAUUCUCCACAUCUGCCUCCACGGCUCCUCCUCCUGCUACAACAUAUAAGGCUAAUUAAGAGGAAAGGAAACGACUGA